AGUGAACGCUGGCGAUAGGCCUAACACAUGCAAGUCGAACGGCAGCACAGUAAGAGCUUGCUCUUACGGGUGGCGAGUGGCGGACGGGUGAGGAAUACAUCGGAAUCUACUUUUUCGUGGGGGAUAACGUAGGGAAACUUACGCUAAUACCGCAUACGACCUACGGGUGAAAGCAGGGGAUCUUCGGACCUUGCGCGAUUGAAUGAGCCGAUGUCGGAUUAGCUAGUUGGCGGGGUAAAGGCCCACCAAGGCGACGAUCCGUAGCUGGUCUGAGAGGAUGAUCAGCCACACUGGAACUGAGACACGGUCCAGACUCCUACGGGAGGCAGCAGUGGGGAAUAUUGGACAAUGGGCGCAAGCCUGAUCCAGCCAUACCGCGUGGGUGAAGAAGGCCUUCGGGUUGUAAGGCCCUUUUGUUGGGAAAGAAAAGCAGCAGGUUAAUACCCCGCUGUUCUGACGGUACCCAAAGAAUAAGCACCGGCUAACUUCGUG
rnacentral:rRNA from 1 species